rnacentral:misc_RNA from 1 species
GAUGAAGAACGUAGCGAAAUGCGAUAAGUAGUGUGAAUUGCAGAAUUCAGUGAAUCAUCGAAUCUUUGAACGCACAUUGCGCCCCUUGGUAUCCCGAGGGGCAUGCCUGUUCGAGCGUCAUUUCACCACUCAAGCCUGGCUUGGUGUUGGGCGACGUCUCCUUUGGGGACGCGCCUCGAAACGCUCGGCGGCGUGGCACCGGCUUUAAGCGUAGCAGAAUCUUUCGCUUUGGAAGUCGGGGCCCCGUCUGCCGGAAGACCUACUCGCAAGGUUGACCUCGGAUCAGGCAGGGAUACCCGCUGAACUUAAGCAUAUCAAUAAGCGGAGGA